rnacentral:lncRNA from 1 species
CUCCCACUCCAUGAGGUAUUUCAGCGCCGCCGUGUCCCGGCCCGGCCGCGGGGAGCCCCGCUUCAUCGCCAUGGGCUACGUGGACGACACGCAGUUCGUGCGGUUCGACAGCGACUCGGCGUGUCCGAGGAUGGAGCCGCGGGCGCCGUGGGUGGAGCAGGAGGGGCCGGAGUAUUGGGAAGAGGAGACACGGAACACCAAGGCCCACGCACAGACUGACAGAAUGAACCUGCAGACCCUGCGCGGCUACUACAACCAGAGCGAGGCCAUUCUCACACCCUCCAGUGGAUGAUUGGCUGCGACCUGGGGUCCGACGGACGCCUCCUCCGCGGGUAUGAACAGUAUGCCUACGAUGGCAAGGAUUACCUCGCCCUGAACGAGGACCUGCGCUCCUGGACCGCAGCGGACACUGCGGCUCAGAUCUCCAAGCGCAAGUGUGAGGCGGCCAAUGUGGCUGAACAAAGGAGAGCCUACCUGGAGGGCACGUGCGUGGAGUGGCUCCACAGAUACCUGGAGAACGGGAAGGAGAUGCUGCAGCGCGCGG